rnacentral:tRNA from 1 species
GGUGGCUCAGUGGUAGAGUGCUUGCCUUGCGUGCAUGAGGCUCUGGGUUCAAUUCCUUGACACCA